rnacentral:tRNA from 4 species
UCCCCUGUAGUUCAGUUGGUAGAACACCGGACUGUUAAUCCGUAUGUCGCUGGUUCGAGUCCAGCCGGGGGAGCCA